rnacentral:rRNA from 1 species
UACGUAGGUGGCAAGCGUUGUCCGGAAUUAUUGGGCGUAAAGCGCGCGCAGGCGGUUCCUUAAGUCUGAUGUGAAAGCCCCCGGCUCAACCGGGGAGGGCCAUUGGAAACUGGGAGGCUUGAGUAUAGGAGAGAAGAGUGGAAGUUCCACGUGUAGCGGUGAAAUGCGUAGAGAUGUGGAGGAACACCAGUGGCGAAGGCGA